UUCAAAUUAAAAGUUUGUUGCUUUGGUCGGAUUUCGAAAGGGAUAGCAAGCGAGUCGACAUGCUUUCAUCUCAUGAAAGCCUCACAUAAGGAGAAAUCACAGAACAAGUAGCAACAAUCAGAGAGACAAAAGAUACUUCACAUGUGCGAAUGUUGAUGAUGGAGAGAUGCAUAUUCACAAGUGGUGGGAUAUAGCUGUCAUGGAGGAGAUGGGCGAGAUGAACAAACAAUGUCAAGUGCUGUCUGAGAAGGUGGAUAGCCUCACAAUCGCAAGUGACUAUGACUCGCACAUCAGUACUGAAACCGAGCAGAAAAUAGUCAUGUUAGAGAAGGUAGUGUUAGAGCUACGGAAGAGUAGAAAUAGGUUUAGAAAUGGUACAGAAUUGAUAUUCGUAAUUGCUAUUGUUGUAUGUUUAAUAUGUAUGGUGGUGAUGUCUAUGAAAU